CUGAAUCUCUGAGCAACCCUGAAGAUACUUCAGCUUUCCCAUUUAGAAGAUGGAGAUAAAAAUGGUACCUCUCCUUGUACAGGGUUGGUGUGAGGACUGAGUUAAUAUGAAGCCAUAAGAAGUGACUGACACAGAUAAGUGUUAUAUAAACUUAGCUGCUAUUAUCUCCUUUCCACAUACCUGGCGGGAUUCCCUGUAUAACUCAGGAACCUGACCAACCCCUGGGUCUCCCAUAGUUGCCCCUUAGUCUGGAUUUUCCCUCACGGUGACUGCUUUUGGGCAGAAAGGUCGGGAGCAUUCUGAGCUUCAACCAGGAUGUGAACAGCUUUCUCUGGGGAAAAGAUCCCCACACCCCAAGCCAGUGGGAGGCAGAAACUGGGCGCCCAGGUCAGAGUCUAAACAAGGAACUGCUCUCUGGGAUCCAGGUGAGGGUGUUAGGAAGAGAGCAAGAGAAAUGAAGGCUCCUGACUUGCUGUGCAUCCUGAGCAGCUAUCGCUCCUCUCUGAGCCUCUGGGAAGUGAAUCAACUUGGAGAUUCCAGCAGCCAAGAGGCCAGUGAGGCAAAUGAAGUUUGUUGGUUCUGGGCAAUAGGGGGUGGUAGGGACUACGGCCAGGGAACCUGACCCAUCCGCGAGGGGAGGGUACCACGCAGCCCCAGCCAACCUGCCGUAGAGCAAAGCGGGCUCCCCACGGGCAAAUCUUCUACUUUUGCAGAAUGGAAGUCCAACUGAAGUCUUUGUGCCAUCUUCUGCUAGUUUAGAGCUGGCUCCAUUAAAACAAAACACGGAGCAAGGCAAACAGCACAUGUCCCCAGGCCAGCUAGGGGCCUGCCA
rnacentral:lncRNA from 1 species